rnacentral:rRNA from 1 species
AUGAACGCUAGCGGCAGGCUUAAUACAUGCAAGUCGCUGGGGCAGCAGGGGUAGCAAUACCCGCUGGCGACCGGCAAACGGUUGCGGAACACGUACGCAACCUUCCUUUAACUGGAGAAUAGCCCCUCGAAAGAGGGAUUAUACUCCGUAACAUAUUGAUAAGGCAUCUAUUAAUAUUAUAGCUCCGGCGGUUUAAAGAUGGGCGUGCGCCUGAAUUAGAUAGUUGGCGGGGUCAACGGCCCACCAAGUCUGCGAUCAGUAACUGGUGUGAGAGCACGACCAGUCACACGGGCACUGAGACACGGGCCCGACUCCUACGGAGGCAGCAGUAAGGAAUAUUGGUCAAUGGACGCAAGUCCUGAACCAGCCAUGCCGCGUGGAGGAUUAAGGCCCUCGGGUUGUAAACUCCUUUUAUCUGGGAAGAAAUGCAUUUUUUCUAAAGUGCUUGACCGGUACCAGAGGAAUAAGCAUCCGGCUAACUCCGUGCCAGCAGCCGCGGUAAUACGGAGGGUGCAAGCGUUAUCCGGAUUCACUGGGUUUAAAGGGUGCGUAGGCGGGCAGGUAAGUCCGUGGUGAAAUCUCUGAGCUUAACUCAGAAACUGCCAUGGAUACUAUUUGUCUUGAAUAUUGUGGAGGUAAGCGGAAUAUGUCAUGUAGCGGUGAAAUGCUUAGAUAUGACAUAGAACACCAAUUGCGAAGGCAGCUUACUACACAGUUAAUUGACGCUGAGGCACGAAAGCGUGGGGAUCAAACAGGAUUAGAUACCCUGGUAGUCCACGCCCCUAAACGAUGAUUACUCGACAUCAGCGAUAACACUGCUGGUGUCUGAGCGAAAGCAUUAAGUAAUCAUCCACCUGGGAAGUACGAUCGCAAGAUUGAAACUCAAAGGAAUUGACGGGGGGGUCCGCACAAGCGGUGGAGCAUGUGGGUUUUAUAAUUCGAUGAUACGCGAGGAACCUUACCUGGGCUAGAAUGCUGGUGGACCGUGGUGUGAAAGCUCACUUUGUAGCAAUAUACACCGCCAGUAAGGUGCUGCAUGGCUGUCGUCAAGCUCGUGCCGUGAGGUGUUGGGUUAAUAAGUCCCGCAACGAGCGCAACCCCUAUCACUAGUUGCCAUCAGGUAAUGCUGGGAAACUCUAGUGAAAACUGCCGCCGCAAGGCGUGAGGAGGAGGGGAUGAUGUCAAGUCAUCAUGGCCUUUAUGCCCAGGGCUACACACGGUGCUACAAUGGCAGAUACAAAGGGUUGCUACCUGGUAACAGGAUGCUAAUCUUCAAAAAAUCUGUCUCAGUUCGAAUUGAGGUCUGCAACUCGACCUCAUGAAGCUGGAAAUCGCUAGUAAUCGUAGAUAUCAGGCAAUGCUACGGUGGAAUACGUUCCCGGACCUUGUACACACACCGCCCGUCAAGCCAUGGAAGCUGGGUGUACCUAAAGUCGAUAACCGUAAGGAGUCGCCUAGGGUAAUAACUAGUAACUGGGGCU